ACAGCUCCAGGACUAACUCGGACUUGCAAGGCAACACACCAGCAAAGCUUUCUGUCUCCAUCUCUGAGCAAAAGGAGCUUCUCCAUCCCCACUGCCUGGAGUAACUGUGUACCCGAUGAUGAUUUUGCUCACAUAGCUUUGGAGGGACUUGCCAGGGAACAGGAAGUAAAUGGAGUGUCUUGAGGAGAUGCCUUGUAGGGAGAGCUGACUGCCAGCCAAAAACCCGUCCAGCUACAAAAGCAGCUGUUUCAGCCCAAAGAAUCUUUUGGUUGCAGCUGGCUGUGCUGUGCCCUGUAUCAGCCUCCAGAGAGCCUGUGUCACAGGACAGGAGACCUUUCAGCUGGAGAAGUCAGCCGCUGUUGAAGCUUGACCCAGAUUCUGAGACCUUGGUCUCCUCCCUGUGCCACCUCUUGUCUGAGCUGAGGCAUCCUCCCACAUGGAGAAAGGAGCUUCAAAAAUCACUGGUCAAUCCAUUCUUCUUCAUGCCUUGUCAGUCCUUGCUAAGAGGGGGUGUGAGACGUUCCCCCCCCCAUAAGUCACGACUUAGGCGAACCUCAGGAUCAUCUUCUCAUGAUGGCUUUUAAAAAGGAAGGCUUUGCCUUCCUUUGCUUCAGCCUUUCAGUGAUCCUUUGAGAUCCCCACGUGUUUUUGACCAUUCCUGAGCCCCAAGCUGGAAUUUCUAAAGCACUACCAGCAGCAAGCCCAAGCAAAACAGUGAUGGCUGAGAGCAGAAGGAAGCAGCGUGUGCUCAUAGUGUGGAGAACUGCGCAUGCAGGUAAGCUCUGAACAAUUUCUGAUUUUAUACUUUGCCAGUGUGUUAUUUAUGCUCUUGGAUCAUGAGGCACAUCUGCUUGGUCAGCCUUGAAAGUGGCUUGGCUCCAGCAAUCAAGACAAGCAGACCAAAGCAUUUCCAAAUUCUUGGUCAUGUUUGAGAUCUCCCUGCGUUCCUGGCUGGGUUAUGUGAAUG
rnacentral:lncRNA from 1 species